rnacentral:snRNA from 1 species
AGCUUUGUGCAGUGGCAGUAUCGUAGCUUUAUCCGAGGUGCGAUUAUUGCUAAUUGAAAAAUCCAAAUAUUACGAAAGUCUUGCUUAAUGAUAAUAUUUCCUUUUUCCUCAAUUAAACCAGUCAAGAACAGUCUUGGAA